rnacentral:tRNA from 1 species
GAAGAUUUAGUUAAUUUAUAACAUUAGUAUGUCAAUCUAAAAUUAUUAAAGUAUAAUAAUCUUUU